CAGAGACAUAAAAGGCUGAUUCAAGUUUUUGGCAAACUGUGACUUAGUAGCUAUAAUUCAAUAAUAAGGCUAAAUUGUGGGUGAAAGUCUCCUGAAAACUUGGGCUGACUUUCCAGGAGCUACACCAGGCUCUUACUUCAGUGGCUCCGAGCUGAUAUAACUGGGACACAGGCAAUAAUCUUCUUAAAACCCCUUAAUCUGGUAAGUUUUCUACAGGGUGAUCAUAUUUGAACACAGACUGGAUGAGCAGCUCGCUUAUAUUACUUUGAUAAAAAGCAACUAAAAUAAUGUGCACCGUCUUUAAUUUUGCAGGACAACUUCUAAAUUAUUUGGGAAAACAAAGUGGAAUUGAAAAACAAAACAGCUUUCACCGCUGACCUGGUUCAAAGUCGCGUACUUCAUGCUCUUUCACGGCAGAUGGAGCCAGCUGCCACCAGAGCACCAGGGUUGCCACAAGUGGCCAGGGCCGCGCUGCCCGUCAGCUGGGCCCUGCUGCAGCCACCAUCAUGCGCGGUCCUCGCAGUCCUUCCUGUUCCUACCAGUAAACCCAGGGCUGGCUUCAGCCUGCCCCGGCCACAGCGAGGUGUUGCAGAAGAAGCCUGUGGACAGGCCAUCUCCUGGGAGCUCGCCACAGACCACUGAAGAGAGCCUCCCGCUGUGUGGUGCCCGGAUUAAAAGGAUGGAGAGCCUGGGGGCUGACCAGGCCGGAUCAUCCGGGGACAGUCAGCCCAGGAGGGAGGAGGAGGCAUUAUUAAGUCCAUCUCCGUGCGGGAGCCAUAGCUGGCCCCCCGCUCUUUCAUCUAUGUGGCCCAUAAACUCCUUUUGAGUGAGACAGUUGAACAAUUCCCCGCAGUCUGCAGUCCAAGAGUGCUGCCCAGUACAGCCGUCACAGUGGGGAAGGCCAGCCUCGUGGCAGAAGCCGAUCACGUAGCGAACUCACCUGGAGAUUGACACGAGGGCCCUGGAGAAGGAUUUCAGUUAAAUAAAUCAACCUCGUCAGCAGGAUCCCAUUUCCUCCGCCUUUUUUUUUUUCUGUGACAUAU
rnacentral:lncRNA from 1 species